AAUGCAAUUCUUACAAUGUUAAUAUUCACCAGAUCCCAUUAUAACUCCUCAGUUAAGUGCACUUUGGCUAGAUUAGUACUGGGAUGGGUGACCUCCCAAGAAUUCCUAGUUUUUUACAUGC
rfam:Picea glauca, whole genome shotgun sequence.